CUUUCCGUAGAGGUGACGUGCGGAAGGAUCAUUACCACACCUAAAAAACUUUCCACGUGAACCGUAUCAACAAGUAGUUGGGGGCCUGCUCUGUGUGGCUAGCUGUCGAUGUCAAAGUCGGCGACUGGCUGCUAUGUGGCGGGCUCUAUCAUGGCGAUUGGUUUGGGUCCUCCUCGUGGGGAACUGGAUCAUGAGCCCACCUUUUAAACCCAUUCUUGAUUACUGAAUAUACUGUGGGGACGAAAGUCUCUGCUUUUAACUAGAUAGCAACUUUCAGCAGUGGAUGUCUAGGCUCGCACAUCGAUGAAGAACGCUGCGAACUGCGAUACGUAAUGCGAAUUGCAGGAUUCAGUGAGUCAUCGAAAUUUUGAACGCAUAUUGCACUUCCGGGUUAGUCCUGGGAGUAUGCCUGUAUCAGUGUCCGUACAUCAAACUUGGCUCUCUUCCUUCCGUGUAGUCGGUGGAUGGAGACGCCAGACGUGAGGUGUCUUGCGGCGCGGCCUUCGGGCUGCCUGCGAGUCCCUUGAAAUGUACUGAACUGUACUUCUCUUUGCUCGAAAAGCGUGACGUUGUUGGUUGUGGAGGCUGCCUGUAUGGCCAGUCGGCGACCAGUUUGUCUGCUGCGGCGUUUAAUGGAGGAGUGUUCGAUUCGCGGUAUGGUUGGCUUCGGCUGAACAAUGCGCUUAUUGGAUGCUUUUCCUGCUGUGGUGGUAUGGGCUGGGUCGAUCCAUUUGGGAACUCUGUGUUGUCUCUGCGGCUUGCUGUGGAGGUAGCAUCUCAAUUGGACCUGAUAUCAGUCAAGAUGCCCAGUUCAC
rnacentral:rRNA from 1 species